GAUGAACGCUGGCGGCGUGCCUAAUACAUGCAAGUCGAGCGAACGGACGAUAAGCUUGCUUCUCUGAUGUUAGCGGCGGACGGGUGAGUAACACGUGGAUAACCUACCUAUAAGACUGGGAUAACUUCGGGAAACCGGCGCUAAUACCGGAUAAUAUUUUGAACCGCAUGGUUCAAUAGUGAAAGACGGUCUUGCUGUCACUUAUAGAUGGAUCCGCGCUGCAUUAGCUAGUUGGUAAGGUAACGGCUUACCAAGGCAACGAUGCAUAGCCGACCUGAGAGGGGGAUCGGCGACACUGGAACUGAGACACGGUCCAGACGCCUACGGGAGGCAGCAGUAGGGAAUCGUACGCAAUGGGCGAAAGCCUGACGGAGCAACGCCGCGUGAGUGAUGAAGGUCUUCGGAUCGUAAAACUCUGUUAUUAGUGAAGAACAUAUGUGUAAGGAACUGUGCACAUCUUGACGGUACCUAAUCAGAAAGCCACGGCUAACUACGUG
rnacentral:rRNA from 1 species